GGGGGAACGGAGGGGAGGUGUCACAUCGUUGUCCUUCCGCCCUCUCGGAACUGAAGUGCCGCGGCACCGGUGUCUGGCGGGGACAAAGGGUGCACACGAAGAUGGCGGCCGCGGCCGGCCGAGCGGGUCUGGGGCUUGCGGGCCCCGGGAAGGUGCUGGGAAAGAGGAUGGAGGCGAUGGCGUCCCCGGUGUGGGUUCGUUGUCUCUUUACCCGGUCGAAUAUUCCAGACUCGGUAUUUCAGCCACGGCCUGGAGAUCAUGAAAAGUAUGGAGGUGAUCCUGAGGAGCCCCACAAAAUCCAUGUUAUUACAAGAAUAAAAAGUGUCAUUGGUCGCCCAUAUUGGGAAAAGAAGAUAAUACGUGAUCUGGGACUGGAGAAAGCACAUCAGCCAAGAUUGCACAAAAAUAUCCCUUCUGUGAAUUCCAGACUGAAAGUUGUUAAACAUCUGAUAAGAAUACAGCCACUGAAGCUACCCCACGGGCUGCCAACAGAGGAGGAAGUGUCCAGCACCUUUUUGACACCCAGGGGAGAGCUUAUCAUUAAAAAGCGCCUGAAACCUGUGGAGCAGAAAGAAAUUAAGUCCUAAGGCACAGAUGAAAACUCUGAAUAUUCUCAUGAUGUAAGAUAAAAAUUAGAGGCAGAAGGCCAUGGGUCAAAGGUUACUGCUCUGUCUACAUCAGGCAGAAAAGGAACUUCCAGUAACAUGGACAGAGGUGACCAGAAAAAGAUCAGAAAGCAACAACAAUUGUUAUUUGUCAGGAAACCUUUUGCUCAAAUCUUAAGGCAGCAUGCUACUGUUAAACUUUCCUUGUUUAUUUGCUCCUUACUACCAAUUUAUCAAGCUUCAACUAAUUUUCUGCAGAGAUUUUCUGUAUUUGCUGCAAAGUGCUGAUACCCUAAAACAAAACUUGGAACAAAAUAUGGAAUUUCAAUAACUUGGAAUUUUAAAUGGACUAUAAAUUAUAAAUAAUCCUUUGUGGUGAUGCUGCACAACUCAGCAGGCAGGUUAGCAGGCCCUUGGGUAUUGCUACCACAACAUGGAGCAGCAGCUUCAUAGCUUCAAAUUGGACUCCUGAGGAGCUCAGACAUCUGCAGGGCUGGCAGCACCAAUAGUGGAUGGCAUGAAGGCAACCAAAAAGAGAGCUCCACUCUUGUUCACCCUUGGAACUCAAGCCCCAGCUUUGUACACAUAGGCAGCAAUGAGAUUCCCUGCCCCAUGUGACAUUUAUACUGAUUUAACAAAAAUUCAUUAAUAGGCUUUACUUAAGAGGUUUAUGUAACAUGGGUUUACAUAAUAUAAUGCACCAAAGGCUUCAUCCUAUGAAUCUUACAUAAGUAAUGUUAAGUAGACAACCAUGUGAUACAUUUCAAAGUAUUACAAAGUAAUUAUUUUAGUAAAUUAUAUUAAUAUAGUGUAGAAUUCAUUAAAGACUAAUAUCAAUAUCUGUGAUUGCUCAACGCUGAACUGUUUAUGGUAGUCUUAAAAAAAAAAAAAAAAUCAGUGACAUUUGAGACAACAUAGGGUUCCCUUUGGUCUCCAGAGGUGAUAAAAUUAGUUUGCUUGUAAGGUAUGUUAAUCAUGCAGAGUCCUUGCCGUGAUGGUAAGCAGAUGAAUGACUGACAAGACAAGGGGCACAGUGUUAAAAGUGCUCUGCUGGCAAAAGCUGUCUCCAGCCCAGCUCUCAUGCUACCUCUGUUGACCCUGCCUGGCAGCCCAGGCAUGGGCACAGCACUGCCCCUUGCUGCCAGGCAAGGACUGUCAGCAUCACUUCUGCAUCAGCUAUGGCAGCAGCUGGAAGAAAAGUACUCUGACACCUUCCAAAUGGUUAUUUGAAAGGCUAAAUGUGAACAUUCUUAUUAUCAGGUUCACAAGUUGGGGUCAGCAGCCAGGGUCAGGCCCAGCUCCUCUGACCUAUCCAGUCUGCAGCACCAUUAUCCUCUCUCUGUUCUCAAACUGAGUUUUAGACCCAUUCCAAGAGUACUGAAUAGAGUUAUUUACUCAAACUAUAGAUUGCUACCCACUGAGCCCCAUGAAACUGAAAAAAAAAAAAAAACAUUGGUAUUUAACAUUUAUCUUUA